rnacentral:rRNA from 1 species
AACACGUACGCAACCUUCCCGUUACUGGGGAAUAGCCCAGGGAAACUUGGAUUAAUACCUCAUAUUAUAUGGAUCAGGCAUCUGGUUCAUAUCAAAGAUUCAUCGGUAACGGAUGGGCGUGCGGUUGAUUAGGUAGUUGGCGGGGUAACGGCCCACCAAGCCUACGAUCAAUAGCUGAUGUGAGAGCAUGAUCAGCCACACGGGCACUGAGACACGGGCCCGACUCCUACGGGAGGCAGCAGUAAGGAAUAUUGGGCAAUGGACGGAAGUCUGACCCAGCCAUGCCGCGUGGAGGAUGAAGGUCCUCUGGAUUGUAAACUUCUUUUCUCUGGGGCGAAAA